UUCCGGUUGAUCCCGCCGGAUCCGACUGCUAUCCGGGUAAGACUAAGCCAUGCCAGUUGAAUGGAAUCGCAGAUUACAUGGCAUACUGCUCAGUAACAAGUGAUCAACUUACCCUGCAGAGGGGUAUAACCUCGGGAAACUGAGGCUAAUUCCCCAUAGUUGGAGCGGCCUGGAAUGGUGCUCCAUCGAAAGAUACAGCGUUAUGUCGCUGAUUCGCUGCAGGAUAGGAUCGCUCUCGAUUACGGUAGUUGGUGAGGUAAUGGCUCACCAAGCCUAUGAUCGAUAAGGGCCGUGAGAGCGGGAGCCCUGAGAUGGAUACUGAGACAAUGAUCCAGGCCUUACGAGGCGCAGCAGGCGCGAAACCUUUACAAUGCACGCAAGUGCGAUAAGGUUACCCGGAGUGCCGAGAGAAAAACUUUCGGCUGUUAUAGGUGUGUAAACUACCCUAUGAGAAAGGAGAGGGCAAGGCUGGUGCCAGCCGCCGCGGUAAAACCAGCUCUUCAAGUGGUCGGGACUUUUAUUGGGCUUAAAGUGUCCGUAGCCGGUUAGAUAAGUUCCUGGUUAAAUCUGGCAGCUUAACUGUCAGUUCGCUAGGAAUACUAUCUUACUAGAGGGUGGGAGAGGUUUGAGGUACUCCAGGGGUAGCGGUGAAAUGCGAUAAUCCUUGGGGGACCACCAGUGGCGAAGGCGUCAGACUGGAACACGCCUGACGGUGAGGGACGAAAGCCAGGGGAGCGAACGGGAUUAGAUACCCCGGUAGUCCUGGCCGUAAACGAUGCGUGCUAGGUGUUGGUAGGGCUUGGAGCUGUAUCAGUGCCAAAGGGAAACUGUUAAGCGCGCCGCCUGGGAAGUACGCUCGCAAGAGUGAAACUUAAAGGAAUUGGCGGGGGAGCACCACAAGGGGUGAAGCCUGCGGUUCAAUUGGAUUCAACGCCGGA
rnacentral:rRNA from 1 species